rnacentral:rRNA from 1 species
AGUGAACGCUGGCGGUAGGCCUAACACAUGCAAGUCGAACGGCAGCACAGUAAGAGCUUGCUCUUACGGGUGGCGAGUGGCGGACGGGUGAGGAAUACAUCGGAAUCUACUUUUUCGUGGGGGAUAACGUAGGGAAACUUACGCUAAUACCGCAUACGACCUACGGGUGAAAGCAGGGGAUCUUCGGACCUUGCGCGAUUGAAUGAGCCGAUGUCGGAUUAGCUAGUUGGCGGGGUAAAGGCCCACCAAGGCGACGAUCCGUAGCUGGUCUGAGAGGAUGACCAGCCACACUGGAACUGAGACACGGUCCAGACUCCUACGGGAGGCAGCAGUGGGGAAUAUUGGACAAUGGGCGCAAGCCUGAUCCAGCCAUGCCGCGUGGGGGAAGAAGGCCUUCGGGUUGUAAAGCCCUUUUGUUGGGAAAGAAAAGCAGCAGGUUAAUACCCCGCUGUUCUGACGGUACCCAAAGAAUAAGCACCGGCUAACUUCGUG